UACGUAGGGGGCAAGCGUUGUCCGGAUUUAUUGGGCGUAAAGAGCGUGUAGGCGGUUAGGUAGGUCCGUUGUGAAAACUCGAGGCUCAACCUCGAGACGUCGGUUGAAACCGCUUGGCUAGAGUCCGGAAGAGGAGAGUGGAAUUCCCGGUGUAGCGGUGAAAUGCGCAGAUAUCGGGAAGAACACCCGUGGCGAAGGCGGCUCUCUGGGACGGUACUGGCGCUGAGACGCGAAAGCGUGGGGAGCGAACAGG
rnacentral:rRNA from 1 species